CGCUGGCACCGUGGCCGCAGCGACCGGCCUGGGAGCCAGGAGGGCGAGGCGGCUGCACCUUCGGGGCCAGAUUGGAGUUCGAAGAGUGGCGGGGACCCCAGAAGCUCGGGGCCGGGGUGAUGGCUGCAGCCUCGGGAAGGUGCUGUGUUACGGGAGGGAGUGACUGGAAAGUAACAAAGCUGAUUCUUUCUCCCUGGAGUAAGACCGAAGACUGGAUUACUACACGCCUUGACAGGACACUACACCCGUAUAUCUCACGCAUCAUUAAUGCCAUAUGACAUUGCCGUUUUCUUUCUCAGUUCACUGACAAAAGUGGUGGGUUUUCAUUGUCUUCAUUGAUUGUCAAUGCAUUAAUAAAGAAGAUGUGUGGUA